GAAGAGUGAAAUUUGGCUUUAAUAGCCAAAAGGGGCACAUGUGAUCCAUUAUAUCACAUGUAAUGGCCCUUGGCUAUUGAUCAGCCCUAGUUGCUAACCGACCAUCCCAUUAUGGCAUAAAUGCCUUGGGCAGCGUGUUGUUCCCCCUUGGGCAGCAUGCACUAUCUUGGGCAGUGUGUGCCACUGAUUGGGUGGUGUGUUGUUGUUGGUUGGUGUGUUGUUGUUGGUU
rnacentral:lncRNA from 1 species